AUUCUGAAGAAAAAGUUUAUUUUGUGUUUGUAAUUAGUGGUUGCUGUGGAGUCUUAUUAGGAAAGUUUAUUUUCAGGGUGGGGUGGGGUUGUUACAUUCCUGUAAUAUAAAUAUCCUGUGAGUUAAAAUGAGUGGAACAAAAAAGUCCUAUGAUUGUCAUUCAUUAAAUUAAUCUGAGAUUUACUAAAGAGUUCUAAAAGUCAUGAAGCACUACAGCAAAUGUCUUUUAUGUGCCCCUUUUGUUAUAAAAUAGAUCCCAUGUGCAUUUUAACUCUCAGUCCAAUAAACAACUAAACAACUUAGCAUAGAUAAUAACAUGUUUGGAAUGAAGGAAAAAAACUAGACAGAGGCUCUGGAAGCAUGGUCAAAAAGAAAAUAAGUUGAUUAUCUGGUUGCCCAGAGAAGAAAACUGUACAGGUCUUGAGAAAAGCAACUUAUGAAAUUGUUUUGUAGGAUUCUAAAGCUGAAAGUGGAUAAAAACAAAAUGGUAGCCACAUCCGGUGUAAAAAAAGCUAUAUUUGAUCGACUGUGUAAACAACUAGAGAAGAUUGGACAGCAGGUCGACAGAGAACCUGGAGAUGUAGCUACUCCACCACGGAAGAGAAAGAAGAUAGUGGUUGAAGCCCCAGCAAAGGGUAAGUUUUACUAACACGGUACUGACGUUGACAUUUUAUGCAGUGAACAGCCCAGUGCUGCUCUAGCAGCUUGCCUGACAGGAGUCCAGUUUUAAGUACAUUCUGACUGUGAAUCAUUUGAUAAGACCAGUUUUCCAAGCAAUCAGUAAUGGAAGUAACAUCGUUAUUGGGUAAUUAAGAAUAUGGCUGGUCUGGCACAGUGGCUUAUUCCUGUAAUCCCAGCACUUUGGGAGGCUGAGGCGGGAGGAUUGCUUGAGCCCAUGAGUGCGAGACCAGCCUGGGCAGCUACAGCUAGGUAUUUGUCUUAAACCUGGGCAUGGUCUGAUGGGAAGUCCCUAGUUGUAUAACAAGUCAGCUGGUUGGCUGUUUGUGAUUGGCUGGGGAUUAUUUUUGUCUUUCGGAGGUUCUUUUCCCCCGACAAAAGAAAUGUUUCCAAGUUAGGUUCCAGUUUGCUUAUAAGAGCUUUAGCUACAAAGACAAUCUCAGGCAAAUGGCUGCAUUAUUGUUUUAAUACCACCUACUGGCUAUGUGAUUUUUUGGUUUUUUUGUUUGUUUGUUUGAUUUUGGUUUUUUGGUUUCUCUUUUUCUGAGACAUGGCCUGGUUCUCUCACCCAUGCUAGAGUGCAGUGGCACGGUCUCGGCUCACUGCAGCCUCCGCCUCCUGAGCUCAAACCAUCCUCCCACCUCAGCCUCCCGAGUAGCUGGGACUACAGGCAUGUGCUACCACACCUGGCUAAUUUUUGUAUUUUUGAUAGAGAUGGGACCUCACUAUGUUACCCAGGCUGGUCUUGAACUCCUGGGCUCAAGUGACCCGCCCCCUUCACCUCCCAAAGUGCUGGGAUUACAGGCAUGAGCCACUAUGCCCAACCACUGGCUAUGGGAUUCUAAGAAAGUAUAAUUUCUGUGAGCCUCAAUUUCCUGACCUAUAAAAUGUGAUUAAUAUUAUCACCUAUUACGGAGUGUAGUAGGGGUUAAAUGAAAUAAUGCUAUUUAAAGUACUUGGUUCAGUGCCUAUCAAGCACCAGUUAAGUGCUUGAUAGACGUUAGCUAUUAUUAGAUGUCUUGGAAUGCUUGGAGUGUAAGGGAGGGAAAAAAGUGAUAGCUAAGCUAGGUGUGAUAGUGUGAGCCUAUAGUCCCAGCCACGGUCCCAGCUACUCAAGAGGUGGAGGUGGGAGGAUCAUUUGAACCUAGGAAUUUGAGUGCAGCCUGAGCAACAUUACAAGACCCCAUCUCAAAAAAAAGUGAUAACUGCUGUUUCUCCAUGUCAUUUCAGUAUCUUUUCUAUUUUAGACAAUUUAAACAAGUUUACCUUUUUUUAAAUUUCAUUUCUAAGCUAAGAAUUUUGAAAUUGCUUUUGAUAAUUUUCUGUCAGAAAUGGAGAAGGUAGAGGAGAUGCCACAUAAACCACAGAAAGAUGAAGAUCUGACACAGGAUUAUGAAGAAUGGAAAAGAAAAAUUUUGGAAAAUGCUGCCAGUGCUCAAAAGGCUACAGCAGAGUGAUUUCAGCUUCCAAACUGGUAUACAUUCCAAACUGAUAGUACAUUGCCAUCUCCAGGAAGACUUGACGGCUUUGGGAUUUUGUUUAAACUUUUAUAAUAAGGAUCCUAAGACUGUUGCCUUUAAAUAGCAAAGCAGCCUACCUGGAGGCUAAGUCUGGGCAGUGGGCUGGCCCCUGGUGUGAGCAUUAGACCAGCCACAGUGCCUGAUUGGUAUAGCCUUAUGUGCUUUCCUAC
rnacentral:lncRNA from 1 species